rnacentral:pre_miRNA from 1 species
CCCUUAGUUUCCGUCUUAUAUAAAUUUUUUUUAUAAUUAGUAUUUUCAUUGUUGUUAGAUGAUAAAACAUGAUUAAUACUUUAUACGUGACUUAUCUUUUUAAUUUUUUUUUAUAUUUUUUUCAAAUAAGACGGACGUUGGACACGAAAAUUCAGG